AUUGUACAGUAGUUCUGCCUGCACAUUGUACAGUAGUUCUCCCUGCACUGUCAUGCACUCAGAAAUCUCUGAUUUGGUUUAUGCCUGAUCCACAUUAUGAAAAAAAGAAGAAAUAAGGUUUCUCCACACACUUGCAUUUCCAGUUCCUUACAGCUACAAUGCCCUGCACGGCAAAGAGCAGCACACGCCUGAGCAGCAGGAGUCACUGAGCUGUGUCUGCACAGGAGACAGUUGUAAAGCCGCAGUCUGCCCUUCCCUCAUCUGCCUAGGUGCCGCAAGCCUGGUGAUAAAACUACUUCUCAAUUAAUGGGUUGAGUACAUAUCUUUAACCCCCUCAGGCCUUUACAAGCACACCAGCGGUCUCUGCAAGUUUUCUUCAUGUAUAAUAUCCGCAGGUGGCUGAAAAGUCAAAGGUCAGCAAAAUAUAGAAUUUGGCAGCAGUCAAGCAGAACACAGCAUUGAAAUUGAAGUAAUGACAUAACAUACUGAUACCAGUCACUACAUUUUGAAUAGCAUACUCAGUUCUAGUUACCAUCGAUGAAAAGAGAUACAGCAGAAAUAUGGCAGUUCAUAGAUAAAACAGAGAAUUCAAUAAAGCAUUAAGAGAUUUUCAUAGCAGGGAAGAGACUUUUCAGAAAUUAAAGGCAACAGUUGAGAUAUGAUAGAAAAAUCUAAAAGAGUAAGUGGUACAAGACAAGUUUGUCAGUCAUUUCUAUUUGCCAUAUCAUGAUACAGGCACAUAAAAAAUCCAGUUUAAUUGAAAGGCAACAAACAAUAUCCCUUGUCAGUAUUAACUCAAAAUAUGACCAUAGACCAGCUGUCAGAGGUCCUUCAAGAAGGAUCAGUCUUCAGGGCAGAAAUAAACCAAUACGAGACUGUAUUUCAGAAGAAAAGACCUGUGAGCGGGUCAUGAGAUGGUUAGGUAACGGUCAGGUAUAGUCUGGGUUGGGUUUAUUUGUGGGGAAGAGUUUUGGGUUUUUUUUUUUAACUUUUCUCCAAAUAUUCUGAUCUUGGACAAAAUCACAGGCCACACAUUAACCACAGGUUUGAUCUUGUAUCACUACUAUGGUGUUCCUGUAAGUAUUAAGAGGAUACUUGAGAAAUCUUUUCAUCAUUCUUUUGGCAACUAUUCUAUUUGGUAGUAGCUGAGCAAUAGUAACAUUGCAGUUUUCUUUUUUAUAAAUAAAAGUUUAUGCCAGUAACCUAAUAUUCAUGAUGCUUAGAGUAGCAAAGUUCUACAUACAUGUGACAGAUGACUUUUUUCAGGGAAAAGGAAACAUUUCAUUUCAGUUUCCCCAAGAAUUAAUCAAAUAAACAAUGGAGUAAAAAACCCCACCCCACAAAAAAGAUUUGACACCAUCAAUAUUAGUCAGGUUAUUGUUACAGCAGUUUAAAUACAUGCUAUUCUCAAGUUUAUGAAGAGUUAUCCUCAAUUUUAUGAAGUGUUACCCAUAGUACAGGCUUCAUUUGCAGGCAGACUAUUAGAUUUUUGGAAGAAAAUAUGCCUCAUAUCAGUAAAGGCACUAAGAAUUUGCAGUUACAUCUAUGAUUUGACAUCCAGAUUUCCUGUCUUAUUUAAAGAACUCCUUUAGCUUUGUGCUGGCCAGAAAUUUUUCAACAUUUCUGCAGAAUUUAAAAAUCUUUUUUCAUCAGAAAAUGAACUCAGUAAAACUGAAAUAUUCAGAAAUCAUAUGUAAAGUAGACACAAUUACUGAGUAGAUAUUGCAUUAUCAAUAUGAUAGGUAAAAAAACCAUGAAAUUUUAUUUGCAGAAAAUUGUUAAAUUUCAUUCUAAUUUUGAACAACAGAAUUGGAGGGGGGGACAUUCCUUCCAGAACUGGAUAAAAUUUCUAAGUCUCAACUAGCUGUAUACACGCCAGAAGACAGAGCUAGUGUCUCUCUCAUUUACUUCCUUUUCGGCUGGUACCAGAACCACGAGAUGGCACUGUACCACACUACAGUUUACCCCGUUUUGCUCAUAAAUACAUUAGGUUUGUCUAUCCGCAGAAUGACCAAGUUUGAGAAUGAUGUUUUUCUCUGACAUUGUUUAGUGACGAAAAAAUGUAGUUAUGAUUAGCCUGAAUCCGUUCAUGAAUUCAGACCCAUUCAAACAAGUUUGUUUGGAAAGUGUUUUUCCGGGUUGACUCGCGAGACAGACUCACUGUCUGCCACAGAGCCCAUUAGUCCCAGCCGCACGGGCGGAAGGCCGCUGGAUGUCCCCAGCAUGGCUUUGGACGCUCAGCAGCAUGUCCUGGAGGCACAGCAUCGCCCAGGAGCAGAGCCAGUCCUUGGGAAACAGGUCUUAGGCCACCCAGACUCAGCACCUACCUUAGCAAAUGGGUUUCACCCUAUUCUUGUCAUUGCUUCCCUACCUUUAAAAUGAGAGCGCUGCUACCUCUUGACCUACUAGAGAAGCAAAUACAGUGAUGUGUAUAUUGAAUAUAGCAAAAUUUAUGAGCCAAAAACUGCCAGAGACACAGCCUCAAAACGAGAUGUAGGGGGGCUGCUGGAGUGGCAGAGUUGGAGUAAUGAGCCUUCUUACUUCUUCCUCCAUCUGCUCAUCCAUAGCUGAAGUUCAGGGCAGGGUGACUCCAAGAUGUAAGUUCCUUAUCCUCUUCACUUGAUGUCUCUUGCCCUAGGUCUUCAGGGGGGGAGAAGUGAAGAGAAGAUAGAAAGAAGUGAAGGCUGCUCUCCUCCUCUCACAAAGUUUUGAUAACAUAUGAGGAGUGAGAGUCCAAGUGUAUAAAUCAUCUAUUCUGGGAAAUUCAACAUUCUUGCCUUGAAUUUUGAGAAGUUUGGCAGCAGCCUCAAAGCUAGUCAGAAACGUAGCAACAUGUUAAACAGCACUACGUGGCUCCAAAGAACCUGCCGUCUGAAAACGGUUCAGUGAACCAGUAUGAAAUGAAAUUGCAGAUUCAGGCCAGGAGCAUCCAUCACUUCAGCUCUUCACUGGGUAACAUUUUCAGCAGAAAUGCCCUGGCUUUAAGAAGCAUAGAGUCUGAAUCACCUUUUUUCCUUCUGUUGGGAAGUGUUAGGAGGAGACAAAAAAACUCACACUACCUCAAAGCCAAACUAUACUUGUGUAUAAUUAAGGAAAACAGCCAACCUCUUUGUCACUUGUCCAACUGGUUUCUCAUUAGUAGAACUAAGAUCUCAAUGUUUAAUACAUUUUUUUUCCAGUUAAAUGCCUUGUACCACUGUGUAACAGGUUCAACAGGCAUUUCCUUGAGAAUAUUUAUGAAUAUUGGCUUUCUAAAAUCCAAAAGGGAAGUAGUCUAGAUUCCUGGGACCUAUGCCAAGAGAUUUUAAAAUCAGAAAAACAGCACUCCAUGAUGUGAAAACAGGACUAGAAUCCAGAACUCCUGGAAUUUAAUCUAGACUAAUGGUUUUCUGGCUGUUCUUUGUGCAAGACGCACUCACUCUUUGCCUUAGUUCACCAGUUUAAGACAUGCUGAUGUAGUGUUCUGUGUAUGUUGAUUAAUAUUUGUAAGACCGUGACCGUUCUGAAAACCACACAAAAAACAAAAUGCCAGGCAACAGCUCAUAGUCUGGGCACCAACUGAAAAAUGACUUGUUCCACAAAAGAGCUCACAAAAUACAGCACUGUUUUCUGUGACUAGAGUAGCCUUUUUUGCACUAGCAAUGUGCGUCAGCCCUCGCACAUUUGGACAUCAACAUUCUGCAGGGCUGAGCUGCCUCUCAUACUCUCCUCUCCUUCCUUUUCUCUCCUACAAAAUAGGUCCUGUACCUCCUACAUGAACAGCUAGCAAUGGCCCCAGUACCAGGAGAGUCUCCAUGUCCUGUUUCCAUGUAGAUGCAGGGUGUUUAUGGGUAACCUGUAUUUCAAAUUUUAAAAAUGGAGAGGAGAGUUCCAAGAUUAUAAUCUGAACACAGUCAACACCUGGAGACUAGGUGGAGACAGGAGAGACUAGAGGGCAACAAAAGGCUAAAUGGGGUACCUGACAUUGCCAGGUACAAAUUCCAAUAGCUAACAGCUAUCAUUGCCAUAUCAAGACAGUUACUUCAGCACAUGAUAAGCCUGUUUAAACAAGGCAAUCCUCUUUGAACAUGGAGGAUGGAGUAGGAGGGCUGUUUAUAAUGUACCCAAUACUGUUCUGAAGUGUUUUAAAAAGAAAAGUUGGUAAAGAAAACAGUCAGGAGCAAAGCAAGUGACCACAGACCGCAAUGAUGGCAGCAAGAUUCCUGGCAGAUCACACGAGUAUUUUGUAGCGGAUCUUCAAUGGUGAACCAUUAUUCCCAGAUCCUGAGAGGAGCUGUGCACCAUGGAAGUGGCUGAACACUGAAAGACUUACUGGGAUGUGUGACCAUGAAAGCUGGGAUUUGUUGGGAUAAAAAUGAAAGAAUAAACAUACACAGGAGCAGGAGAUUGGACAUGAAAUAAAAAAU